ACACUGACAGUGCCGCAACGGCCACCAGUGUGGAAAUUGUGAAUGGACCAACAACCACCACCGUGCCCCGACGAUAAUGUGACCGCCUCAGCCGCUGUGAGAGGCGGCACGCGCCACCCGGUGUACCGCGGAGUACGGAAACGGCGGUGGGGCAGGUGGGUGUCAGAAAUUAGGGAGCCACGGAAGAAAUCGAGGAUAUGGUUGGGGUCGUUCCCGGUGCCGGAGAUGGCGGCGAAGGCAUACGACGUUGCCGCGUACUGCCUCAAAGGGCGGAAGGCGCAGCUCAACUUUCCCGACGAGGUGGACCGACUGCCGGUUCCGGCUACCUGCACGGCCAGAGACAUUCAGGCGGCUGCGGCUAAGGCGGCGAGCAUGAUGUCGAAAGCCGCCGGUGAGAAAAGCAGCAUUGCGACCGACGGAGACAUCGGAGGCGGCGAUGAUUUCUGGGGUGAGAUUGAGUUGCCGGAGCUAAUGUGUUGCUGGAGUUCUCCGAGCGGGUCAUCGUGGAAUUCCUCCGGUGACACCACGGCGUGGCCGGAGGUUGAGCUUUUGCCGCUGCAACCCUUCAUGGCGUGUCUAUAAUCUGCUUGUUUUAAUGCUGCUCAGUGGUUGGUAAUUUGGUCUUAUGGUGUUGGUGUCAAGCUUGGUGCAUUCUUUUUCCGUUUUGCCGAGAGGUUUUGAGGUGCAAAUUGAUCACUUGGUAUUUAGGGGUUUUUGUUCUCUUGGUUUGCUGAAGAAUUCUUGCACGUUGUGGUUUAAGUGGAGGUACCAGAUUAGUAACUUACAUUGUUGCUCCUCUUGUUCUUUUCAUGGCCUAAAAAGCUUAGUAUUAUUGCCCAUGAAGCAUAGUAUUGUUGAUUAUUUCUGGGUGAAAGAGGUAUGGGGUGAUUGGAGGUGGGGGAGGAGAAGAAAUGAUGAAGAAGGACUAAAGUGACGGACGUUUGCCACUUUGGGGGACCACGAGCAGAAUAAAAUUCAUUCAGGGACGAAUGUGAAGUCGGUUGACACUUUCAAGGACCAAACUGACCAUUUACCCUUUUGUUCUUAAGCAUCUCAGUCUCAGGCACAUUAUAUAUACUUUAUUCUUUAAUAAAUAUUUCUUUUGGUAAGUCAUUUAAAAUGGUUAAGUGUCCAUAUAUAUUUUGUCUUUUUUUCUACUUCUUCUUUUCCAGCUUCCUUACCAAUAUUAUGUGUUUAUGGCUUUGAGUCCUCUAUAAUUGUGUAUAGGUUUUUUGGUUUACUAAUUGUGUAUAGGUUGCAACAAGUCUAACAAUUUAUUCUUCAACAUUCUUACUGAGGUUAUACAAAUGAAGUACAUGAUAUGGAUGUAAAAAAAAAAUUUCUCA